rnacentral:rRNA from 1 species
UACGUAGGGGCCUAGCGUUGUCCGGAUUUAUUGGGCGUAAAGAGCUCGUAGGCGGUUUGGUGAGUCGGGUGUGAAAUCUCCACGCUCAACGUGGAGGAGCCACCCGAUACUGCCAUGACUAGAGUCCGGUAGGGGAGUGUGGAAUUCCCGGUGUAGCGGUGAAAUGCGCAGAUAUCAGGAGGAACACCUGUGGCGAAGGCGGCUUUCUGGGCCCUACCUGACGCUGAGACGCGAAAGCGUGGGGAGCGAACCGG